rnacentral:rRNA from 1 species
UGGGGAAUAUUGCACAAUGGGCGCAAGCCUGAUGCAGCCAUGCCGCGUGUGUGAAGAAGGCCUUCGGGUUGUAAAGCACUUUCAGCGGGGAGGAAGGCGGUGAGGUUAAUAACCUCAUCGAUUGACGUUACCCGCAGAAGAAGCACCGGCUAACUACGUGCCAGCAGCCGCGGUAAUACGUAGGUCCCGAGCGUUGUCCGGAUUUAUUGGGCGUAAAGCGAGCGCAGGCGGUUAGAUAAGUCUGAAGUUAAAGGCUGUGGCUUAACCAUAGUACGCUUUGGAAACUGUUUAACUUGAGUGCAAGAGGGGAGAGUGGAAUUCCAUGUGUAGCGGUAAAAUGCGUAGAUAUAUGGAGGAACACCGGUGGCGAAAGCGGCUCUCUGGCUUGUAACUGACGCUGAGGCUCGAAAGCGUGGGGAGCAAACAGGAUUAGAUACCCUGGUAGUCCACGCCGUAAACGAUGAGUGCUAGGUGUUAGACCCUUUCCGGGGUUUAGUGCCGCAGCUAACGCAUUAAGCACUCCGCCUGGGGAGUACGACCGCAAGGUUG